CAGGAUGCUUCAGCAGAGCGAAUACUCAAUGCUCUCUAGGAAGGAGACUUCCAGCCACUGUGAAACCAUUUCUGCAAGAAAACGUGGCGGUGAUCCUGGCAGCCGUGAAAAAGAGAUAUUCCUGGACGAAACCUCUUCAGUCCAAGGGGCUUUCCAGUGAAGGGCUGUGUGAAGCCAACUCUGAAAGCUCUGAUAAACAUGAAGUUACCACACAAAAAUUCAGGGAGAGACCGGGUAAGAACAACCUGCUGACUCAAAUUCCCAUGUUUAGUAUCAAUUUCCUCCAGCUUGAGGAGGACUGCUUAGCUACUUGGCAACUGGUAAGCAAAGAGAUUUAGAUAAAGCUCCUGAAAAUGAGGAACCAGCUCAUCAUUCUUGACUGGGGAGAGCCACAACACCAAGUGUGAUACACCCUUUUGUUCUUCUUAUGAAAUCCUAUCUGGCAGAUUAGGGAAAGAAGUCCAGUUAAGCGCCCAUCCCUUGGGGAAGUUAAGAUGUUUAUUUUGCCACUUGGCAAAUAUUUAUGAAGCUCCUAGAAAAAGUCAGGUACUGGGAAGAAAUCAAAAGUGCUUAAUGGGGAUACAAAUUCAAAUGCCUAACAGGUGCCAGGAAAGACCCGUUAAUGAAAUAAGCAGCCUAGUGGCACACAACAGGGCGCGGCGGGGACUGCGGUGAGCUAGAGUGCACCCCCAUUUGAAGGGGAAACAGUGACUUAGCUCCAGUCAAAAGGAGCAAGGCGGGAGUGGAGGGCCUGUGUUGGCAGGACUUUGGAUAUUUUCACAGAAAAAUUAUUGCACCAUGGUAACUAUAUUCAGGGGGAAAGUUAGAGAUGGACGACUACCUCUAUGGUUUUAAAAACUGACAGCAAUUCAAAAAAGUUUUAAACACUCUAAGGGCCAAGGGAAAAGCUCUCUACAGGGAGAUCACAAUCCACGGGCCCCCGUGGGUGACCCCGGAGUGUCGCAAAGUCUCGGGCUUUGGGGGGCUUGUGUGUGAGGAACUCCAGUAGAGAACACAGUGCUACGUGCUGCGUGAGCAAGACAAAGCCCUGAAGG
rnacentral:lncRNA from 1 species